rnacentral:rRNA from 1 species
AUUGAACGCUGGCGGAAUGCUUUGCACAUGCAAGUCGAACGGCAGCACGGACUUCGGUCUGGUGGCGAGUGGCGAACGGGAGAGUAAUGUAUCGGAACGUGCCCAGUCGUGGGGGAUAACGAAGUGAAAAUUACGCUAAUACCGCAUACGAUCUAUGGAUGAAAGGCGGGGAUCGCAAGACCUCGCGCGCUUGGAGCGGCCGAUAUCAGAUUAGGUAGUUGGUGGGGUAAAGGCCCACCAAGACAACGAUCUGUAGCUGGUCUGAGAGGACGAGCAGCCGCACUGGAACUGAGACACGGUCCAGACUCCUACGGGAGGCAGCAGUGGGUAAGUUUGGACAAUGGGCGAAAGCCUGAUCCAGCCAUUCCGCGUGCAGGAUGAAGGCCCUCGGGUUGUAAACUGCUUUUGUACAGAACGAAAAGGUUUCUACUAAUACUAGGAGCUCAUGACGGUACUGUAAGAAUAAGCACCGGCUAACUACGUGCCAGCCGCCGCAGUAA